AUUGAACGCCGGUGCCAGGCCUAACACACGCAAGUCGAACGAGUGGCGGACGGGUGAGUAAUGUCUGGGAAACUGUCCGAUGGAGGGGGAUACCUAUUGGAAACGGUAGCUAAUACCGCAUACCAUCGGAUGUGCCCUGAUGGGAUUAGCUAGUCGGUGGGGUAAAGGCUCACCUAGGCGGCGAUGCCUAGCUGGUUGGAGAGGACGGUCGGGCACCCUCAAACUAGCACACGGUCCGGGCUCGUGCAUGAGGCAGCGGUGGGGGGAAUUGCACGAUGAAGGCAGCGCUGAUGUAACCAUGACUCUUGUAGAGAGUAGGCCUACAGGUUGUAAUGUCCUUUCGGAAGGAAUACAGUGGCCACAGAGGAAUCACCGACUAACUCCGUGCCAGCCGCCGCGGUAAUAC
rnacentral:rRNA from 1 species